rnacentral:rRNA from 1 species
UAUUGGUCAAUGGCCGAGAGGCUGAACCAGCCAAGUCGCGUGAGGGAAGACGGCCCUACGGGUUGUAAACCUCUUUUGUCGGGGAGCAAAGCGAACCACGUGUGGUUCAUUGAGAGUACCCGAAGAAAAAGCAUCGGCUAACUCCGUGCCAGCAGCCGCGGUAAUACGGAGGAUGCGAGCGUUAUCCGGAUUUAUUGGGUUUAAAGGGUGCGCAGGCGGUCUGUUAAGUCAGCGGUCAAAGCCCGGGGCUCAACCCCGGCCCGCCGUUGAAACUGGCAGUCUCGAGUUGGAGAGAAGUAUGCGGAAUGCGCGGUGUAGCGGUGAAAUGCAUAGAUAUCGCGCAGAACUCCGAUUGCGAAGGCAGCAUGCCGGCUCCACACUGACGCUGAGGCACGAAAGCGUGGGUAUCG